rnacentral:sRNA from 1 species
GGAAGCGCACGGCGGCGAGCCGUGUCCGCGGUGGGACUCAGCACGGCGUGUGUUCACCUCGGGUGGCGUGGCCCCCGUCCCGGCGAGUCUUCCCGGCCUCGGUCAGGGGAGCGCCGGCGGCGGGUGCGCUGCGGCACCGCCUGCGCAUUUUCCGCCCGGACUCGUCAGCGAGGAUCGCCUCGGGCCCCAAGGGCGGCGGGGCAGGUGACCCGGCGGUGGCCCUGGCUGCCCCGUCGGGAGCUUAGAGCCCGCCGCUUCGGCUGCGGUCGCGGCCCGAGCGUCGAUGGAGGUGCGUGGCGAGCGUCGUUCGCCGGAGAGGCCGGGUCGGCGCCAACGGAGGGCGUUUGUCCUCCGGUCGGCCCGGCUCCGACGCUGACGUCGAGUCGCUGCCGUGCGACCCGUCUUG